UAGUCCACGCCCUAAACGAUGUCUACUAGUUGUCGGGUUUUAAUUAACUUGGUAACGCAGCUAACGCGUGAAGUAGACCGCCUGGGGAGUACGGUCGCAAGAUUAAAACUCAAAGGAAUUGACGGGGACCCGCACAAGCGGUGGAUGAUGUGGAUUAAUUCGAUGCAACGCGAAAAACCUUACCUACCCUUGACAUGUACGGAAGCCACGAGAGAUCGAGGUGUGCUCGAAAGAGAGCCGUAACACAGGUGCUGCAUGGCUGUCGUCAGCUCGUGUCGUGAGAUGUUGGGUUAAGUCCCGCAACGAGCGCAACCCUUGUCAUUAGUUGCUACAUUUAGUUGAGCACUCUAAUGAGACUGCCGGUGACAAACCGGAGGAAGGUGGGGAUGACGUCAAGUCCUCAUGGCCCUUAUGGGUAGGGCUUCACACGUCAUACAAUGGUACAUACAGAGGGCCGCCAACCCGCGAGGGGGAGCUAAUCCCAGAAAGUGUAUCGUAGUCCGGAUCGCAGUCUGCAACUCGACUGCGUGAAGUUGGAAUCGCUAGUAAUCGCGGAUCAGCAUGUCGCGGUGAAUACGUUCCCGGGUCUUGUACACACCGCCCGUCACACCAUGGGAGCGGGUUUUACCAGAAGUAGGUAGCUUAACCGCAAGGAGGGCGCUUACCACGGUAGAUUCGUG
rnacentral:rRNA from 1 species